ACUGGAGGACCACUGCUUGUGUUCUGGACACUCCUGGGCCUGCUGGCCCCAGCUUCUCCUCGACACUGGAACAGAAAGGAAAGGAAGUCAUCAUCAUCCAUGAACAAGGAGAUGCCAGCAGCCUGACCAGGAAUGGGGGCCAGAUUCUGCUCAAGGCGAUAAAAAAUUAAAUUUUUAGUUAAUUACACCAAAUUGAAACUACCCAAAAUUCUGAGGAUAAACCUUUCAAUCUCCUCAUACAAUCUCCUCAAAAUCCCAGGCCCGAUUGAUGUUACAGGAUAUGACAUCAGUACUCUCUAAAAAUGGAGAAAUUGAUGUAAUCAAGAAUGUCUGUCACAGAUAAAAACUGAGAUAACUCUGGACCAGGGCUAACUGGAAUUCACAGAAAACCAACACAGGAAUCAUCCUGCAAAAGAGUGUCAUAAAAUGUCCGCUGAAAGAUCAGGCACAGGACCCAAGGUCUGCCCUGAGUCACUGGCUUUUUACUGAUUCUUCCUGAAAGAGUGUAAGGCUUUCUGAGGUAGUUAUAAAUUCCAAAAUGACUGUGCAGAAUGAGGAUGAAAUAACCUAACGUCAGUUUUCUCUGAGCACAGGCAGCUGAUGAAGUGGGCCCAGAAGGAAAAGAUACGGCCGCUAAGCUUUCAACACCUGUUAGUUACUCUCCUUUGUUAAUAAAUAAUAAAUGCCAUGCUUACAUUUUUCACAGUUGUUUUUAAAUGCAUUAAUAGAAGUGAAUUGUAUAAAGAGAAUUAUUCCAGAGGAAAGUGAAGGCAACAUGUAUUAUUUUUUUUAUCAAUUCCCCCCCCAAAUUAAAAAAAAAUAGCAUAUUGACUUUUGAUGCUAUGUCUCUAACUUUAUAGAGAAUACAGUCAUGGAAUUUUAGGGGGGAAAUAUUCUAAAAAUAAUUUUUGAAAAACUUUCUCAUUUUAUUAUUCUGAUAGAACAGCUAUGACUAGUUCAAAAUACUAAAUAUUAAGGCUUUUAUUACUAUUAUUUUAAAUAGACACUAGAUGGCGCUAAAAGAUUACUAGU